AGCGAACGCUGGCGGCAGGCCUAACACAUGCAAGUCGAACGAAGUCUUCGGACUUAGUGGCGGACGGGUGAGUAACACGUGGGAACGUGCCUUUGGGUUUGGAAUAACUCAGGGAAACUUGUGGUAAUGCCGAAUGUGCCCUUCGGGGGAAAGAUUUAUCGCCUUUAGAGCGGCCCGCGUCUGAUUAGCUAGUUGGUGAGGUAAUGGCUCACCAAGGCGACGAUCAGUAGCUGGUCUGAGAGGAUGACCAGCCACAUUGGGACAGAGACACGGCCCAAACUCCUACGGGAGGCAGCAGUGGGGAAUCUUGCGCAAUGGGCGAAAGCCUGACGCAGCCAUGCCGCGUGAAUGAUGAAGGUCUUAGGAUUGUAAAAUUCUUUCACCGGGGACGAUAAUGACGGUACCCGGAGAAGAAGCCCCGGCUAACUUCGUGCCAGCAGCCGCCGUAACAC
rnacentral:rRNA from 1 species